rnacentral:lncRNA from 1 species
ACCAUACCUAGCAUUUGGUAAUUAAUGUGUCUUUCAGUUGGUUUAAGAACACACUCUAUCAACAUAACCCAUCCAUGUUUUAAUUUAUCUUCUCAAUCUUCACAUGAAUUGAAGGUAUCAAUGAGCAUUCUCAUAGAAAUCAUUUUCACACCAUUGAAAUACUGAUUUCUAAGCCGAGGAUUACUAGGGUCAAAAUUAACAGAUACUUCGUGGUAAGGUAAUCCAGAGAUUAAGCAAAUUCUUGCAUUUGAAAACGGGCAAGAUGGUCAUCAAACCUUACACACACUUCAUUGUUUUUACUAGAAUUCACAAUCCUUAUUUACUUUUCGUCUUUGUACAUGAAUCCAUAUAUAAAUCCAUGAAAAUUACUGCAAAUUAAUGAUGAUUGUUCAUCUGCUUGUAACAAUUCUAUCAAAUCUCUAACUUAUUGAUGAUUUGGAUAAUGACUAACAGUAGCACAGAACCAUUGGUCUGGAGACAAGACAUAAUCUAGAGACAUUUGCAUGAAACAACAAAAUUUAUUUACAAAUUAAUUUUUGGAGAAAAUGUAAUUACAAAUAAAAAUUAAAACAUACCUUGCACAAAUAUUUUCCACUUUAUCCACUAAACAAAAAUUUAGUACUAUAAAACAAUGUACUCAGAGCAUGUAUAGUUCUAGAUAAUCAUAUCACAUAAGACAUAUAAAUUUCUACUAUGGGAAAUUUAAAGAAUCAAAAGCCAACAAUAUGUCAAGGUUUAUUCAAUGCACCAAGCAGACAAAUAUACUUAACAAACUCACAACAUUGAUUUUUUAAAAUAAAAGAAGGCAGUAUCACAGUAUAUUCUUGAACUCAAUCAAAAUUAAGCAGUAGACCAUAUUCCAAUUAUAUGUAUCCAUGGAGUAUAUCUUUACCCUCAUUUUUGUUUCUGAAAUCAUGUCUCUUUUUCUCUAUAUAGAGUAAAACACACACAAAAAUCGGUAAAAAAAUAAUAUUUAACUUUUCAAAUACAUCAAAGAGUAAACGAGAAGUACUUUUCA